rnacentral:rRNA from 1 species
AUAGCAUAUAUUAAAGUUGUUGCCGUUAAAAAGCUCGUAGUUGAACCUUGGACCUGGCUGAUCUGUCCUCCUAAUCGAGCGUACGGAUUCGGUCGGGUCUUUCCUUCUGGGGAGCCCUAUGCCCUUCACUGGGUGUAGCGGGGAACCAGGACUUUUACCUUGAAAAAAUUAGAGUGUUCAAAGCAGGCCUUUGCUCGAAUACAUUAGCAUGGAAUAAUAGAAUAGGACAUCGGUUCUAUUUUGUUGGUUUCUAGGACCGCUGUAAUGAUUAAUAGGGAUAGUCGGGGGCGUCCGUAUUCAAUUGUCAGAGGUGAAAUUCUGGGAUUUAUUGAAGACGAACUACUG